GCCAAGACAUAAAAUUAAUUCACACUACCAAACGCCAGGGUAUUACGAGCCUAGCUUAAAACCCAAAGGACUUGACGGUACCCCACCCAACUAGAGGAGCCUGUUCUAUAAUCGACAAUCCACGAUAUACCUAACCAUUUCUCGCCUCAGCCUGUAUACCUCCGUCGUAAGCUUACCCUGUGAACGCACGAUAGCAAGCCCAAAGGCUAAACACCAUAACGUCAGGUCAAGGUGCAGCCUAUGAAAUGGAAGCAAUGGGCUACAAUCUCUAACCUAGAACAAGCAAAUACUACAUGAAACACAGUUACAAGAAGGAUUUAGUAGUAAAUAGGGAAUAGAGAGCCCUAUUAAACCUAACCCUGGGGUG
rnacentral:rRNA from 1 species